UAGGGAAUCUUCCACAAUGGACGCAAGUCUGAUGGAGCAACGCCGCGUGAGUGAAGAAGGUUUUCGGAUCGUAAAGCUCCGUUGUUGGUGAAGAAGGAUAGAGGCAGUAACUGGUCUUUAUUUGACGGUAAUCAACCAGAAAGUCACGGCUAACUACGUGCCAC
rnacentral:rRNA from 1 species